ACACCUCUAUGGUAGUCGGCUUCUCAUCACAUAAGAGAGCAUCGAUCAACCCUUUCUAGAUAAGCACGUCUUUUACUCUUGCCUGCCAUAAGGAGAAAUUGCUCUUUCCAUCAAAUCUGUUGAUCUCCAUCUUGAUUGUGCUUAUCUUUUCUAUCUUCUAUCUUGAUCACCACCACUGCAACCUACACUCUGGCAUCACCUUGCUCUGAUAUCAAUUGUUGCUUCAGGAUC
rnacentral:lncRNA from 1 species